GACGAACGCUGGCGGCGUGCCUAAUACAUGCAAGUAGAACGCACAGUUUAUACCGUAGCUUGCUACACCAUAGACUGUGAGUUGCGAACGGGUGAGUAACGCGUAGGUAACCUGCCUGGUAGCGGUGGAUAACUAUUGGAAACGAUAGCUAAUACCUCAUAAUAUUAAUUAUUGCAUGAUAAUUAAUUGAAAGGUGCAAUUGCACCACUACCAGAUGGACCUGCGUUGUAUUAGCUAGUAGGUGAGGUAACGGCUCACCUAGGCGACGAUACAUAGCCGAACUGAGAGGGUGAUCGGCCAACAUGGGACUGAGACACGGCCCAGACUCCUACGGGAGGCAGCAGUAGGGAAUCUUCGGCAAUGGACGAAAGUCUGAACGAGCAACGCCGCGUGAGUGAAGAAGGUUUUCGGAUCGUAAAGAUCUGUUGUAAGAGAAGAACGGGUGUGAGAGUGGAAAGUUCACACUGUGACGGUAUCUUACCAGAAAGGGACGGCUAACUACGUG
rnacentral:rRNA from 1 species